rnacentral:rRNA from 1 species
AGAGUUUGAUCCUGGCUCAGGAUGAACGCUAGCUACAGGCUUAACACAUGCAAGUCGAGGGGCAGCAUGAACUUAGCUUGCUAAGUUUGAUGGCGACCGGCGCACGGGUGAGUAACACGUAUCCAAUCUGCCGAUGACUCGGGGAUAGCCUUUCGAAAGAAAGAUUAAUACCCGAUGGCAUAGUUCUUCCGCAUGGUGGAACUAUUAAAGAAUUUCGGUCAUCGAUGGGGAUGCGUUCCAUUAGGUUGUUGGCGGGGUAACGGCCCACCAAGCCUUCGAUGGAUAGGGGUUCUGAGAGGAAGGUCCCCCACAUUGGAACUGAGACACGGUCCAAACUCCUACGGGAGGCAGCAGUGAGGAAUAUUGGUCAAUGGACGAGAGUCUGAACCAGCCAAGUAGCAUGAAGGAUGACUGCCCUAUGGGUUGUAAACUUCUUUUAUACGGGAAUAAAGUGAGGCACGUGUGCCUUUUUGUAUGUACCGUAUGAAUAAGGAUCGGCUAACUCCGUGCCAGCAGCCGCGGUAAUACGGAGGAUCCGAGCGUUAUCCGGAUUUAUUGGGUUUAAAGGGAGCGUAGGCGGACGCUUAAGUCAGUUGUGAAAGUUUGCGGCUCAACCGUAAAAUUGCAGUUGAUACUGGGUGUCUUGAGUACAGUAGAGGCAGGCGGAAUUCGUGGUGUAGCGGUGAAAUGCUUAGAUAUCACGAAGAACUCCGAUUGCGAAGGCAGCCUGCUAAGCUGCAACUGACAUUGAGGCUCGAAAGUGUGGGUAGCAAACAGGAUCAGAUACCCUGGUAGUCCACACUGUAAACGAUGAUUACUAGGUGUUGGAGGAUUGACCCCUUCAGUGCCGCAGUUAACACAAUAAGUAAUCCACCUGGGGAGUACGACCGCAAGGUUGAAACUCAAAGGAAUUGACGGGGGCCCGCACAAGCAGUGGAGUAUGUGGUUUAAUUCGACGCAACGCGAAGAACCUUACCAAGUCUUGACAUCCUGCGACGGUGCUGGAAACAGUACUUUCCUUCGGGACGCAGAGACAGGUGGUGCAUGGUUGUCGUCAGCUCGUGUCGUGAGAUGUUGGGUUAAGUCCCGCAACGAGCGCAACCCUUAUGGUCAGUUACUACGCAAGAGGACUCUGGCCAGACUGCCGUUGACAAAACGGAGGAAGGUGGGGAUGACGUCAAAUCAUCAUGCCCUUUAUGACUUGGGCUACACACGUACUACAAUGGCGUUAAACAAAGAGAAGCAAGACCGCGAGGUGGAGCAAAACUCAGAAACAACGUCCCAGUUCGGACUGCAGGCUGCAACUCGCCUGCACGAAGUCGGAAUUGCUAGUAAUCGCAGAUCAGCAUGCUGCGGUGAAUACGUUCCCGGGCCUUGUACACACCGCCCGUCAAG